GCAUCGGUGGUGUAGUGGUAGCACGCGCCCCCCCCGCAUGCGGGAAAACACGGGUUCGACUCCCGUCUGAGGUCA